UACGUAUGGGGCAAGCGUUAUCCGGAUUUACUGGGUGUAAAGGGAGCGCAGGCGGCCUGGCAAGCCUGAUGUGAAAUACCGGGGCCCAACCCCGGGGCUGCAUUGGGAACUGCCAGGCUGGAGUGCCGGAGAGGCAGGCGGAAUUCCUAGUGUAGCGGUGAAAUGCGUAGAUAUUAGGAGGAACACCAGUGGCGAAGGCGGCCUGCUGGACGGUGACUGACGCUGAGGCUCGGAAGCGUGGGGAGCAAACAGG
rnacentral:rRNA from 1 species